AUUGAACGCUGGCGGCAGGCCUAACACAUGCAAGUCGAGCGGCAGCGCGGGGCAACCUGGCGGCGAGCGGCGGACGGGUGAGGAAUUCGUCGGAAUCUGCCUUUUUGUGGGGGAUAACGUAGGGAAACUUACGCUAAUACCGCAUACGACCUACGGGUGAAAGUGGGGGACCGCAAGGCCUCACGCAGAAAGAUGAGCCGACGACCGAUUAGCUAGUUGGUAGGGUAAAGGCCUACCAAGGCGACGAUCGGUAGCUGGUCUGAGAGGAUCAUCAGCCACACUGGGACUGAGACACGGACCAGACUCCUACGGGAGGCAGCAGUGGGGAAUAUUGGACAAUGGGCGCAAGCCUGAUCCAGCCAUGCCGCGUGUGUGAAGAAGGCCUUCGGGUUGUAAAGCACUUUUGUCCGGAAAGAAAUCUUCCAACUUAAUACGUUGGGAGGAUGACGGUACCGGAAGAAUAAGCACCGGCUAACUUCGUGCCAGCAGCCGCAGUAA
rnacentral:rRNA from 1 species